UACGGGGGGAGCAAGCGUUGUUCGGAUUUACUGGGCGUAAAGGGCGCGUAGGCGGCCAGCACAAGUCAGUUGUGAAAUCUCCGAGCUUAACUCGGAAAGGUCAACUGAUACUGCUCGGCUAGAGUGCGGAAGGGGCAACUGGAAUUCUUGGUGUAGCGGUGAAAUGCGUAGAUAUCAAGAGGAACACCUGCGGCGAAGGCGGGUUGCUGGGCCGACACUGACGCUGAUGCGCGAAAGCUAGGGGAGCGAACGGG
rnacentral:rRNA from 1 species